GUUCUGCCUCUGCUUACACAACACCAGCAGUUUGUUUUAUGCCGUAUCAGGCUGUUCGCCAGCAAUUACUUCUUGGCCUUAUUAAACAGUUCAAGGCUCAGACAUCUCUGGUUGUAAGAGAUUUGAUUUGUUAAAGAGCAUAUGGUUACCUUUAGGUAACCACAUGUACUGAUGUGUUUUCCUCUGCAGAGGUGAAAGAGACAAAGAGGUGGGAGCAGAAAUGCUGACAUGGGCAGGUUCCUGGGGUGCAGCUCCAGAUCUGUGGGUAUGGGGGACAAAGGUCUCAUCUCUUUUUUGGGGCAAGAAGCAUGAAACAGUGGGAACUUUGGGGGUGGGAACUCCAGAGGGUUCGGUGAAGGAGGAGUACAGUCACUGGGAGACAAAAUGGAGAGUGGGUAAAAUUUCUGUGCCACCGACUGGGAAAGUCCCCCAAUAUCCCCAGGACUUUGGCAUUUGAAUGAUUUCACAUUUCAGAUAAGGGAAAAAGUCUCAGCCUGUUCCUGUGAACCCCCCCGCCUCCAGGUCACCUUCUGCAUUCACCACCUGAUUUGCAAAUGGCUUUUGACCAAUUUUCCCCUGGUAGAUUACUUCUCACUAUUACUCUUCUGCGUUGCUGCAGUACUCACCAAUGCCAUGCUGAGAGCACCCAGCUCUGACUGUGGGAAAUGAGAGGCGAAGCUCAAGCUUCACAAAGGUCAGCUAUGCUGCAGCAUGGUUUUUUGAAAAGCUGCAGAUGCCCUGACAUCAAGGGAGCUGUUGUUCAUGUGCAGGUAAAGAAGAAGCAGUGAAAGCUUUAUACAUGCUUUAAACACAGUUUUCUUUCAGUUUUGCCUGAAUGGAUCCAACAGAAAGGUUUUGCCUGAGCUACAGCUUCAAGGGUUUGCAUGCUUCUUAUUAAAUCUUCGUACUCUAUAGGCAAAAGGGGUUGGGAUGAAUAAGUGGAGAGUUGAAACCCAUGUUCAUACAUUCUGUGUUGUGCAUUGAACUUUGAUGUUAAUAUCAUUAGUUUUGUGUUCUCUUUCAGAAGAAAGACAUGAAAAUGAUGAUGCUAUGGGUCAAAACAGGUGCACAAAGGCCGUCAAAUGAGAAAUGUAUUUUGUUUCAGUAACAGACAUAGUUUAGAUACUUUUAAUAUAUCUGAUUGAUAGAUUACUUUUCGGGGGGGGGGGGGGGGGGGGGGGGGAGAUACCUAAUAUAUAAUACAGCUUUCUAUUUGUACUGUGAUAUUAUUAAAAGUAAAUUAUUUCCUGUUAAACAAAACAAAAAAACAAACAAAAAAAAAACAUGGAAAUUUAGAGGAAAAUAGGGCUUAUCAAGUCAAACAGGAUCCAACAUAAUUUUAAGUGUAUCCGUCAGAAAAUUCUAAAACAUUUUUUACACUGUGAGUAAAAAAAGUCUCCCUCCAUAGCACCCACUGAACAGACUGCAGCUCAACAGCAGCUUCAUUCUGGUGCUGGAUUGAGGCGGGUGGCUGCAUUGCAAUGCCAACAACACAGCUGAAGUUGGGGGCACGUAGGCGGCACUGGGAAGCCAGCAUACGGUUCAGAGACAGUGGUGGCUCUACUCACCAAAAGGGCUUGGUGGCUGCCAAGUUAGUCCUGACAUCCUUCAAACUCCAAAACAGAAAGAAGAGAGGAAGAAACAAGAAGGCACUUUCAACCAGAGACUGUAAGUUUGCACCUCGUGUCUGAAAGCCUUGGGCCAUUUUGCUAGGAUGGUGCCAACCUUGAAAGCCCAUUUUGCAGUGCAUAAAUGGCUUGGUUACAGCAGAGUUUUAGCCUUAAAUCUGAAUUUACUUUGCAGUCGUGGGUCUACAUCUGUGUUUUGGCACCAUGUUCUCAAAAGCCUAUUCUUUUUCCUGGCUUAAUCCAAAAAAAAAAAAAAAAAAAAAAAAAAAAAGCUUAGAUAAUGUUCAUCGACCACAUUUUCUUUGCAUGUAUGAGACUCCAUGCUUUCAUUUUACUCAGAACAAGCAGUAACAAACUGGGUAUGUUUUGCCCAGAGAUCAGAUCUAAGUCUCAGUUUAUACUCACCAUUUUUUAUCAGCCUGUCCUUGUUAAUAAGAAGCACCUGUCUGGGGGCUGCUGAUCGCUAUCAGCACACUCUCUGUAGCCAGCGCAGAGACAGCUGCCAGCAGAUUGCAGCUUGAGCCUAUAGGAUGAGUUUCUCUAAGAUGAGCCCUUCAAAGCCGUGCCAGGUGCCCACAGAUCAGGAUAGCUGGCGGCAGCACAGCUCCUCCACUCCUGCAAAGUCAGCCUUGCAGUCACCACCACCAUUUGGCAUAUUUUGCUUUGCAGCGGUGGGCUGUCAGAUUCACCAGUGGGGACAGGUUUAUAGUGGAACUUCCUUGCACUUCUUUUGUGGUUCGUUUUCUAGUUAUUGUUUAUUUCACUUGUCAAGAGAAAGCCUGAAAUACACUCUAGGUGAGGACGCUUGUUUGUUCAGCUAGUGACUCAAAACCACAGUGUUCCUUUGUUCACAAGGGGUGAAGGUCCCCGUGCAGAGGCAGGCACAGAGCCUACAUGCUGGUUACGUGCCCUUCACGUGGCAGAAGCAGAGCUCAGGCACGGCUCAUAGGGUUGGCUUUGUGCUGCCUUUCUGCAAAGGUGAGGGCUUUGCUCACUGAGCCUUUCUGGAGCAUUCUCCGCACGCACAUUCAAAAAUUGUUUGUAAUGGUAAGCUGAAAGUUUGUUUAGUGCUGGCAAUUCAGGUAAUCCUGGCAACGCGUGUGAAACCACUCAGUGAAUUUGUGGGUGAAUUCCCUCAGCUGCUCUCUUUUCAUGGUUUGGAGCCAUCCUCCUCUUUCUGGGACACCUCUACAGCAGUACCUCUCACCUGGUGCCUGUGGGCUGUGGGAGCAUGAGGCGGGAAGACCCUGGCACCAUGUGGAUCAGUCUCACAAACGAGAAUGGAGGAUGCACUCUCUGUUCAGUUCAGCCAUGGAUGAGCAGCACUGCAGCACUGUGAAGGGCAGGCCCUGGGCUGCUUGCUUGAACACCUGUCCUGAGGCUGGGGGGAUCUGGUUCCUCCGCUCUCCCACCCCGUGGGUUCCAGUAGGCAGCUGCCAGCUUUGCUAUCUGUCACUGGUGACGUCCUUUGCUUAUCACUGCAGAACCUUUCUGCCCCGCUAACAUCACUGUGGCUGCAUGGCCUGAUACUGAGUACAAUCUCACUUCCUUCCUGUUUCCCUUGUGGCUGCACACUGCUCUGUGGCAGGGCCCGGUGCCAGCAGGCCCCACAUGGCCGCCCUCGCUCCCCCUCAGCACAGCAGCCCCAAACCUGGCUGGUCCUCUCCAGCCCUGUGAGUGCUUGGUGCAGGGGUGACCGCCAGCCUGCCUAGAGGUUAUUUUUAAUGCUGUUCCCCUGCUUAGGCAUGGCACGUUGGGGCCACCUGUUUCUUUCACAACCUCGUCUUGUUUACAGGCACCAAUACAACAGAGGAGGCUGUUUGAGGUCUAGUAGCCCUCAAAUCUCAUCUCUUUUACUUUCACAUCUGAGAAGAAGUAAAGAAGUGGCUCUCAGUAUGACCAGUGCUUUGUGAGUAUGCAAGAGAUGGAAAAUAGUGAGUGCUAAAGAGACUGGAGUCAUUAUGGCAGCAGUGUAUGAGAACAGGGCCAGGCCCGGAUGUGGUAACAUCCUUCCUCUGGCAGUGCGUGGCUCAGACACACAGAGGUGUAAAGCAGGUUUUUAAAGCAACUGCAACCAACUAUCGCAUCUUCCUACUCUUCUAACAUUUCUUUCUCCUCCUCCAGCCUUCAUUGCCAAGGCUGCUUUAGACUUCACUGCAGUAAGGAGAUUCUGGACUUCAUGGCAAAUCAGCUCAGCUGCAGCCGGCACCCAGGCACAUUUGGAGUAUACAGCUCAGAGGGCGGAUUUCUGGCGCAUUGGCAAACCCAGGUGAAACAUAUGAAAAUAUUCCAUCUUGUGACUCUCCCCCACUUUUAAGAGGAGGCAAAAGGUAUCAGCAGCAGGAGCAGGCGGUGCGCUGCUCCGUGCAUUGUGAUUCACACUGAAACACCGUAGGAGGACUCAUCAAGAAGGAUACUUCCUGUGCUUUGGGACUUGAUUUUGAUCACUUUCCACUUAAUGGGGCAAGAACACAUUUAUGAGAACCAGGCUCAGGUACCUCAGGCAUGAACCAGCUUUUGUUUGCUUUCCCACCCAAACUCUUUCAGAACCACCUUCAGCUUCCGCCCCAGAAAAGUCACCUUCUUACAGAUCUCAAUCAUAGCUCCUAUUUCUGAAGAAUUUUGCCACUGAAUACAAAGUUCAUGUGUCUGCUGUAUGAUCAGACGUACUUCUUGUAAAAAACAGUCCCCUGGACUUCAACCACAGUGGUUCAAGAAGCACUCAGCUCUGCACUUAUUUCCAGCAGUAUUUUCCAGCAUAUUUUCCUAU
ensembl:lncRNA